rnacentral:rRNA from 1 species
UUGCGCCUCCUGGUAUUCCGGGAGGCAUGCCUGUUCGAGCGUCAUUAAAAACCACUCAAGCUCUUUUGCUUGGUCAUGGAAGAAGAGUUUGCUUGCAAUCUCCCUUCCGAAAUUCAAAGGCGGAAAGUCUCAGAGCCCCGGCGUAGUAAUAAUAUUUCGCUUGGAACUUGUGAUGAUCCUGCCCUUAACCCCCAAUUUUAUCUAGGUUGACCUCGGAUCAGGUAGGGAUACCCGCUGAACUUAAGCAUAUCAAUAAGCGGAGGAAAAGAAACCAACAGGGAUUGCCUUAGUAACUGCGAGUGAAGCGGCAAAAGCUCAAAUUUGAAAUCUGGCGUCUUCGACGUCCGAGUUGUAAUUUGGAGGGGCAUCUUCGGAAUUGGCGCCGUCCUAAGUUCCUUGGAACAGGACGUCAUAGAGGGUGAGAAUCUCGUGCCUGGAUGGCUGUCCAAUUCCAUGUGAAGUGUCUCCGACGAGUCGAGUUGUUUGGGAAUGCAGCUCAAAAUGGGUGGUAAAUUUCAUCUAAAGCUAAAUAUUGGCGAGAGACCGAUAGCGCACAAGUAGAGUGAUCGAAAGAUGAAAAGCACUUUGAAAAGAGAGUUAAAAAGUACGUGAAAUUGUUGAAAGGGAAGCGCUUGAGACCAGACUCAAUCUUAGGUGAUCAGCCGUGCUUCUGUACGGUGCACUUGCCUUUGAUUGGGCCAGCAUCAGUUCUGACGGUGGGAUAAAAUGCGGAGGAAUGUGGCUCUCUUCGGGGAGUGUUAUAGCCU